rnacentral:rRNA from 1 species
CCUACGGGUGGCAGCAGUGAGGAAUAUUGGUCAAUGGUCGCGAGCCUGAACCAGCCAAGCCGCGCGAGGGAGGACUGUCCAGCGUAUCGUAAACCUCUUUUAUCAGGGAACCAAGCCUGGCACGCGUCCCCUUAUGUGUGUACCUUAAGAAUAAGCAUCGGCUAACUCCGUGCCAGCAGCCGCGGUAAUACGGAGGAUGCGAGCGUUAUCCGGAUUUAUUGGGUUUAACGGGGGCGGAGGCGGGCUGGUAAGUCAGCUGUCAAAGCUUGCGGCUCAACCCCGAGAGUGCGUUUGAUACGGGCAGGCUCGAGUGGGAGAGAGGUAGGCGGAAUGCGUGGUGUAGCGGUGAAAUGCAGAGAUAUCGCGAAGAACUCCGAUUGAGAAGGCAGCAUGCCGGAUCGACACUGACGCUGAGGCACGAAAGCGUGGGUAUCGAACAGGAUUAGAUACCCUGGUAGUC